AGUAACCAUCUGCUCUUGAACGGUUCACAUGAUCCCUGUGGGAGUCAGAUUGCUCAGUGGCACAAGAAGUUCAUUGGGGCAAGUGGAAGAGGAGAGAGAAGUGGAGCGAAGGCAUAGCUGGCUGUGCAGUGCGUCUCCUUAAUGAAACUGCAGGAGAUGGGGUCCUCCAUUCUCUUCUGAGACUGCAUGAGACUGAGGACCUGGUCUCCAAAUGUUGUUGUCAAAUUACAGCUUUAAUUUGUAGCCACAAUCUUUAAGUCAGGUGAUAAAGUAGUAAAAACCAGUCAGUAGUGAGUACUGGAAAGGACGUUAGUGAUCCUUUGGGAAUCCACAAACCUGAAACUAGAAGGAGAAGGGUUCACUGUCAUCUUGUGCCAUCAGCUAACAGUCAGGCUGGGGCGUGUACUCAAGUCCCAGCCCAGACCUCUUUGUCUACCACAUUAUAGAAACCUAGGAGUUUCAUGGUCUGCUCUUCAUGCUCAUUUAAACCUCUUAGGUGACCAAACACCUCUUUCUUCUGGUAAAGAUCAUCCUAAGACCUUUGUUUUCCUCAUCGGGAAGUCUCUCUUAGCCUGUUAAGGAUGCCUCCAGGGUCUCCUUUAUCAAAAACUUUAUUUUUUAUUCUUUAGUGUGUCAUAGAAGUUCUAGGAAAAUCUGAGAUGCUGUGGUCACUCUCUGUGCUUCUUGUAACUUGAUUGCUUCUUACCAAACACAGAGAUCAUUUCAAACAGGUUUUACUGUUUUGUAUUAGCGGGGACAUUGUGUGCCUUAGCCCUCCAUUACAGUAACAGAACACCUGAGGCGAUACAGAAAGAGGUUAUGUGCUAUGACUCUAGUUCUUGGCGGUUUCAGUUCAUGCCACUUGGCUCCAUCAGGUUAGGGUUUGUGGUCAGGUAGAGCCUACGAUGGGAGGAUGCAGCAGAGGGAGACUUUACCUCCUGCCCAGAGUGAAUGAGAGACGGAGGGAGUGAUUAGAGUCCCAUAAACCUUUCAGGGGUAUGCCUGGAAUGUGCCAACCACAUCUCUUAAAGGCUCCUCUAUCUCUCAGCGAUAGAACAGGCUAGGAAACACGGAUGUUUUUCUUCUUGGAACCAUGACUUUUACAAAUUGGCCUCUGGAUGGAUAUUUAAGAUUUAUGCUAUAGUAUCGUGUCAGGCACUUUGCUUUAGAACAGUUGCUGUUUGCCUCAUAUUCCGGAAGGAAGUUUUGAGAUUUACACAGUUCUGUCCAUGUGGGGAAGACAUCCAGGUCCAGUAAACAGUUGACUCCAAGGGUUGCAGUCACAUGGUCUCAUUGCAGAGUCUGUGUCUUUAGACAGUGGGUACUCCCUCCAUCUUGCUUCUUGUAGACUCUUGUACCCCUCCCUCAGCACACACUCCCACCUUUGCAUGCUCCCUCUAGGUCUGUUGUAGAUUCCCUCUCUCUUGGCAGCACCAAACCCUGGUGGAUCUGACUUGCAACCCUGCCCUUAGUCUCCAAACCUGGAUCCCCUAGCAGUCUCAGUUGCAUUGAAGACUCUGUACUUACUGAUAUACUCCGAGCCUAGUUCCAGGCUCUCUCCAUGGCUGUCUUCUCUGUCCAGCCAUCUGUCUGUCUGUCUGUCUGUCUGUCUGUCUGUCUGUCUGUGGUUCUGUUCAGAUGUCUGUGCAGGUGGCUCACAGUUAUUUGUUGAAGUCCAGGUGGACCCUUAGGUGACCAAUUGGAGGUAGGGAUACUUUAGAGGUCUUUGUGGCUCCUCUAUGAUAAACCCCAGCUCUGUGCCAGAGGUAAAGAGCUGAAUGAACAUGGGAGACAUUUUUGAUAACAUUUACCUGUAAGCAGAUAACUAAGAAACUGUUUUUUCCCUGUGGGAAAUAACAUGAUUUUUUUUUACAAGGACAGAUGGCAUUUUUUCCACUUUGGGCAUUCUAGGAGGCGUCUUUGUCAAAAAGAACUUAGAAGAGCUGAUGUUGUCAGGAGCCAACAAGCCAAGUUCACAAGCCCCUCCGGCCUCUGUUACGUAAAGACAGUGGUGAGGGCCACACUCUUACAGUGUGAGCGAAACAAGCCAUGGCAGUGUCUCUAAGUUCCAAUAACCCAGCACCUCCAGCAACGAUGACGGAUUGAAAAGGAAACCAGGAGCAGAAUUUGGACCGAAUUUCUCUUCACUCCCCUUCACUCCCUGGAGUUUCCAGCUGCUCUGCUAUCUUUGGUUUAAACAGAGAUAUUUUUGUCAAGAUU
ensembl:sense_intronic 4933413C19Rik RIKEN cDNA 4933413C19 gene